AAACUUCGAGUGCAACUUUUUCCCUUGGAAUGUGGAAAGAGGCUCAACCUCGUAGUUAAUGUUUAGUUUCUGAGCUGAGUAAAUGGACCCACGCUGCUGGCGACAGAAGGGAGGAUGCCAGUAGAAUGGGUGUGAGGAUUUAUUUAGCAAUCGGGUCCUGCUUUGUGGGCGUCUCUUAUAAGGCUUUCAUAUGAAAUUUAGAUUAUAAUUCCCUGCUCGGCUUUGAUGCUCUCUGUCCUGAUUAAAAUCACAUCAACCUUUCAGUCGCAUAAGAAGACCACAGCCUGGGUGCCCAUUUACAAAUUCUCCGAUUUUUGUGGAUGCAGAAUUUAAGAAGAUUUUGCUGCCUUUAAGGCGAAGAGAGGAGGGGAGCGCACCUCCGGCUGCGCUGCCGCCCGAGCCCUGCCCGUCGCGGCGAGCGGGCACCGCAGGGCCGAAGAGGAGAUGCCAGGGGAAGCCGGGCGCUCCCCACCUUUCACUCAUAGCCGCAGAGAGAGCGAGGGAGAGAAAAUUGCCACAGACCAGGCAGCAAAAUGCUGGGUUUAGAAAACUGCGAUCCAGUUUCGUGCAUACUACUAUAAUUAAUUUGCGUGCGGAGAUCAAAGAUCCGAGGGCGAAGGAAAUAAUCGAUUCUGCCAGAAAACGCUUCCCUGGCGCAGCCCACGGUCAGCCGCCACCCACGGCAGGGAGCCAAGCACGCUUCACAGAGUGUACCAUGUAACAGAGAGGACAGCAGGCUGCACUGGCACCCACCUGAAGCCCAACCCCACCCAUGUUGUUCUUUCAGAAAUGGCUUAAUUCUCAUGCUCAUGGAAACAAACACUAGCAAGAGCAACCUGAUCUUACCAACUAAUUUGUCAUGCCUGAUGGAUGCUGAGGACUAGCUGGAGUUACAUGGCAGUAAAAGCUCCUCUGUGCUAAGCACACCUCAGCACAGAUAGACACAGUGCAAGCUUAUUGCAAAGCUUAUGGGGCUACUGCCACUGCCUUUGUUGUUCUGCUUAUGUAGCACAGAACUAUGCUGAUAAAUACCCAGAUAGGACAGAUAUAAAUUUGAUGGAUGAAGUACUGUUUUCUUUAAUAAUCUAGAUUGAAAUGUUAAAUUUUGUUCUGCAUUUAUCACGCUCUUCUAGCAUGUAUUGGCAAUAGGCUCACUCAUUGUUCUAAAUGGCUGUAAAUUGCUGUCAGGUUCACAGCACCCAGGGCCUUUGUGUGUUGGUUUUAUUGAAAGCAGGUCUACUACCGGCUGCUUUUUAACCUGGAAGAUUUAAGAAAAGAGAAGAAUCUAUUUCUUUUAGCUCAGGAGGUUUCUGAGCUGCAGAAAACAUUAGAGGUUGUAGGGAAAGAUGUUUUAUAUACUGUGUCGUACAGUAAGCUUCUGUUCCUAUGCUUUUCCCCUCAAAUAUACUCCAUUAGCCACUCAGAGAGAGGCUGAACUAAAUAGCUCUUUGCUCUGUCUGAAGAGGGCUUUAUUUAUGGACUCCCUUUAUUCUUAGUUAUUGCAGCAACCCUUGGGCUUGAUUCUAUAAAACACUAGCUCAGGGCAAACUCCCCCCAGUACUAUCAGGGCGGCAAUUAAGUAAUUAACACAUGAGUGUUUGCAGCUCUCAGCAGAGUUGAUACCAUGCAGACCUUGGUUCUCACGGAGAAGGACUUUUACAAGGAAAUAUCAUUCCUCCCUGCACAACAGUAAAUAGCUGGAAGUGCAGCAGGCAACUGGUUUCAAAGGUGAAGAGAAAAUCCCACCCAGGCUUCCAGCUGCCAGGCAGCUGUCAGUGAAGCUCAGCCCUAAGGUGAGCGUAGCCUGUGUGGGUGGGGUGGCCAACAUCCGUCACUUGUGUCCUGGGAUUUGGCAAGGGGAGCGCACGUGCUUUAGCGUGAGACCCCUCGUUUGCUCUUACUUCUACAGAGACAUUUCAAAUUUCAAAUUUCAUCCCUGCCUGGGGUUCGGGUAAACCAUUUGGAGAGUCUAUUGCAGUAGUAAGCUAUAAAACUUAUCUGGGCUAGUCUAAAGGAAGCCUCUUUACUGCAGCACUCAUGCAAACAGAAACUCAUGAUAUGACACACUCUUAGUAUUCACCAAACCAGAAAAAUAAAGAAAAUAUCUUUGUGGGACA
ensembl:lncRNA